GGAGAGUUUGAUCCUGGCUCAGAACUAACGCUUGUGGUGUGUCUUAGUCAUGCAAGUCGAACGAGAAAGUCGCCUUCGGGUGGCGAGUACAGUGGCAAACGGGUGAGUAACACGUGGGCAAUUUGCCCCCGGGUUGGGGAUAACAUUUCUAACGAAGUGCUAAUACCGAAUGACAAGGUGAGUUUAUGACUUGCUUUUAAAGGUGGCCUCUACUUGUAAGCUGCCGCCUGGGGAUGAGCCCGCGUCGUAUUAGCUUGUUGGUGGGGUAACGGCCUACCAAGGCGACGAUGCGUAGCCGGCCUGAGAGGGUGAACGGCCACACUGGAACUGAGACAAGGUCCAGUCUCCUACGGGAGCCAGCAGUCUAGAAAUUUGCACAAUCGCCGAAAGGCGGAUGCAGCGACACCACGUGGAGGAUGAAGCCGUUCGCGGUGUAAACUCCUGUCAGGAGGGAAGAAGGUGCGGAUGUUAAUACCACCCGCUACUUGACGGUACCUCCAGAGGAAGCUCCGGCUAACUACGUGCCAGCAGCCGCGGUAAUACGUAGGGAGCGAGCGUUGUUCGGAUUUACUGGGCGUAAAGAGCACGUAGGCGGGUAUUCAAGUCGGUUGUGAAAUCCUCUGGCUCAACCAGAGAACUGCAAUCGAAACUGUAUACCUUGAGUCCAACAGAGGGAAUCGGAAUCCAAGGUGUAGCGGUGAAAUGCGUAGAUAUCUUGGAGAACAUCAGUGGCGAAGGCGGAUUCCUGGGUUGGUACUGACGCUGAGGUGCGAAAGCUAAGGUAGCGAACAGGAUUAGAUACCCUGGUAGUCUUAGCCGUAAACGAUGGGUACUAGGUGUUGGGGGACAUUGACCCCCUCAGUGCCGUAGCUAACGCAUUAAGUACCCCGCCUGGGGAGUACGGCCGCAAGGCUGAAACUCAAAGGAAUUGACGGGGACCCGCACAAGCAGUGGAGCAUGUUGCUUAAUUCGAUGCAACGCGAAGAACCUUACCAGGGCUUGACAUCCGAGGAAUCUUCUGGAAACAGAAGAGUGCCUUCGGGAACCUCGAGACAGGUGCUGCAUGGCUGUCGUCAGCUCGUGUCGUGAGAUGUUGGGUUAAGUCCCGUAACGAGCGCAACCCUUGUCCUAUG
rnacentral:rRNA from 1 species